AUUGAACGCUGGCGGAAUGCUUUACACAUGCAAGUCGAACGGCAGCAUAGGUGCUUGCACCUGAUGGCGAGUGGCGAACGGGUGAGUAAUACAUCGGAACGUGCCCAGUCGUGGGGGAUAACGUAGCGAAAGUUACGCUAAUACCGCAUACGAUCUAAGGAUGAAAGCGGGGGACCGUAAGGCCUCGCGCGAUUGGAGCGGCCGAUGUCAGAUUAGGUAGUUGGUGGGGUAAAGGCUCACCAAGCCGACGAUCUGUAGCUGGUCUGAGAGGACGACCAGCCACACUGGGACUGAGACACGGCCCAGACUCCUACGGGAGGCAGCAGUGGGGAAUUUUGGACAAUGGGCGCAAGCCUGAUCCAGCCAUUCCGCGUGCAGGACGAAGGCCUUCGGGUUGUAAACUGCUUUUGUACGGAGCGAAAAGCCUUGGGUUAAUACCUCGAGGUCAUGACGGUACCGUAAGAAUAAGCACCGGCUAACUACGUG
rnacentral:rRNA from 1 species